rnacentral:rRNA from 1 species
CUGAGAUGUAUAAAUGUAACAAGGUCUCCGUUGGUGAACCAGCGGAGGGAUCAUUACCGAGUUUACAACUCCCAAACCCCUGUGAACAUACCUUAAUGUUGCCUCGGCGGAUCAGCCCGCGCCCCGUAAAACGGGACGGCCCGCCAGAGGACCCAAACUCUAAUGUUUCUUAUUGUAACUUCUGAGUAAAACAAACAAAUAAAUCAAAACUUUCAACAACGGAUCUCUUGGUUCUGGCAUCGAUGAAGAACGCAGCAAAAUGCGAUAAGUAAUGUGAAUUGCAGAAUUCAGUGAAUCAUCGAAUCUUUGAACGCACAUUGCGCCCGCUGGUAUUCCGGCGGGCAUGCCUGUUCGAGCGUCAUUUCAACCCUCAAGCCCUCGGGUUUGGUGUUGGGGAUCGGCUCUGCCUUCUGGCGGUGCCGCCCCCGAAAUACAUUGGCGGUCUCGCUGCAGCCUCCAUUGCGUAGUAGCUAACACCUCGCAACUGGAACGCGGCGCGGCCAUGCCGUAAAACCCCAACUUCUGAAUGUUGACCUCGGAUCAGGUAGGAAUACCCGCUGAACUUAAGCAUAUCUGAGCCGGAAGGAGAAGGAGCAAAAGAAACCAACAGGGAUUGCCCUAGUAACGGGCGAGUGAAGCGGCAACAGCUCAAAUUUGAAAUCUGGCUUUCGGGCCCGAGUUGUAAUUUGUAGAGGAUACUUUUGAUGCGGUGCCUUCCGAGUUCCCUGGAACGGGACGCCAUAGAGGGUGAGAGCCCCGUCUGGUUGGAUGCCAAAUCUCUGUAAAGUUCCUUCGACGAGUCGAGUAGUUUGGGAAUGCUGCUCUAAAUGGGAGGUAUAUGUCUUCUAAAGCUAAAUAUUGGCCAGAGACCGAUAGCGCACAAGUAGAGUGAUCGAAAGAUGAAAAGCACUUUGAAAAGAGAGUUAAAAAGUACGUGAAAUUGUUGAAAGGGAAGCGUUUAUGACCAGACUUGGACUUGGUUAAUCAUCUGGGGUUCUCCCCAGUGCACUUUUCCAGUUCAGGCCAGCAUCAGUUUUCGCCGGGGGAUAAAGGCUUCGGGAAUGUAGCUCUCUUCGGGGAGUGUUAUAGCCCGUUGUGUAAUACCCUGGUGGAGACUGAGGUUCGCGCUUCUGCAAGGAUGCUGGCGUAAUGGUCAUCAACGACCCGUCUUGGC